rnacentral:rRNA from 1 species
GGGGAAUAUUGGACAAUGGGGGCAACCCUGAUCCAGCAAUUCUGUGUGCACGAAGAAGGUUUUCGGAUUGUAAAGUGCUUUCAGCAGGGAAGAAGAAAGUGACGGUACCUGCAGAAGAAGCGACGGCUAAAUACGUGCCAGCAGCCGCGGUAAUACGUAUGUCGCAAGCGUUAUCCGGAAUUAUUGGGCAUAAAGGGCAUCUAGGCGGCCCUGUAAGUCUAGGGUGAAAACCUGCGGCUCAACCGCAGGCCUGCCCCGGAAACUACAGGGCUAGAGUAUCGGAGAGGUGGACGGAACUGCACGAGUAGAGGUGAAAUUCGUAGAUAUGUGCAGGAAUGCCGAUGAUGAAGAUAGUUCACUGGACGGUAACUGACGCUGAAGUGCGAAAGCUAGGGGAGCAAACAGGAUUAGAUACCCUGGUAGUCCUAGCUGUAAACGAUGAUUACUGGGUGUGGGCAUGAAGAGUGUCCGUGCCGAAGCAAAUGCGAUAAGUAAUCCGCCUGGGGAGUACGGCCGCAAGGCUG